rnacentral:lncRNA from 1 species
AUUCCACGGUGGAUAAUAAGAUCUAGUUUACAAGGACAGAUUUGGAUGGAAAGAGCAGUUACACUGUACUUCUGGGAAUCUAUUAGCCAAGUUUGCUGUGCUUGACACGAGUGCGAGGCCUCACCUUACUUGCUGACUGGACUAGCCCAACAGGUUCUACAGAAUAAACCCCAUUCUGUCUCAGCUGUGGAGAUCAAUGAAAAGACUCUGUCUUCUUGCCGCCAGAUAUGUUACCUGCACUUAGAGAAUUGAAAGUGCAAAUCAAAGGAGUGUUCUUUUGGGAAGAGAGUUUUAGCGGAAAGGUCUGGAUGCUGGUGAACUGAUGAGGAAGCAGCAGUUAUUUCUGAGAUUUAACUUUGACCUGGGCUUUGAAGAGACACCCAUUCACCACUGUUGCAACUGCAUGCUUCCAGGAACUGGAGAGCAGAAGAACUUACAACUUUUGAUGAAUUCAUCAAGCAAAAGGGCUCCAGAGGACACCCACUGUCUGAAACUGGGAAGUGGGGAGCUCUAGCGAUGUGGUAACGGAUCACAGAAGUAGCAACAUUUAAUAAACUAAACAGAAGCUGUGUCAAUAUUAAGUUAUGUCUCAGUUUUAUAUCUCAAGUUUUAUCUGACCUAAAUACCAAUCUUUUUAGUAAAAUAUAUUUUAAUGUUCUGUGAUAAAAUAAGCACAGAAAAAUGGCUUUUGAUUUUCAAUUCUCCCUGGUGAAUAAUUUGUUUUCUUUCAUUUUUUCCUCCU